AUUGAACGCUGGCGGCAGGCCUAACACAUGCAAGUCGAACGAGUGGCGGACGGGUGAGUAAUGUCUGGGGAACUGCCCGAUAGAGGGGGAUAACUACUGGAAACGGUAGCUAAUACCGCAUACCAUCGGAUGUACCCAGAUGGGAUUAGCUUGUAGGUGAGGUAACGGCUCACCUAGGCGACGAUCCCUAGCUGGUCUGAGAGGAUGACCAGCCACACUGGAACUGAGACACGGUCCAGACUCCUACGGGAGGCAGCAGUGGGGAAUAUUGCACAAUGGGCGCAAGCCUGAUGCAGCCAUGCCGCGUGUAUGAAGAAGGCCUUAGGGUUGUAAAGUACUUUCAGUGGGGAGGCGUUACCCGCAGAAGAAGCACCGGCUAACUCCGUGCCAGCAGCCGCGGUAAUAC
rnacentral:rRNA from 1 species